CGUGAAUGAUUUUUAUAGCAUAAAAGCUAAAUAAAUUUAUACAUACUGAAAUACAGUAAGCCAAAAUAUUUAAUUUAAUUUACAAUAACAAGAGGGCCCUCGAAUAAACAAAAGUAAAGAGGACUGUGAACCUACGGUUUGAAAAAUUGCAGAUCCAAUGGUAGUCCUCGAUGAGAUCAGCUAUCUACAAUCUAUACUGAACCUGAAAUGGGUGGAAAGGAGAGUGGUGAGAUUAUAAAAUCCCAAUGAGUAAACAGACAUUACCAUAAAUAUCUAAAGGCGAGUAAAAUGGAGGCAAGUUUAAACAACAAAUUUCAACCUAUUUCAUAAUGUUUUCAAUUUAUUUCUUAAACCAUAAAAUAUUUGUAAUUUACCAAAACAGUUGUUAAGGCUUAUGUCUUUUAUUAAAACAAGGCUCAAGCCAAAACUAAUCUUGGGGGAUACCUUGGCCGAGGCAUCUAACAGAGUCCGCCAAGGGUGUUAAAAUAUUCACACGUGAAACACAUUUUUAUUUUUAAAACCAGUCGUUCCUUAGCGUUGGCCGAGUUACACAUUCACGUGGGGGUUCGACGUGAAAUGAGCUUUAAUACUACCCCUGGAGUUACCCUCCUCACCUCUACAACUAGAGUAACUAUAUAACUGGGUUUACCGUGCCCCUUUAAUAGGCAGUCCACGGAAACCCGUCACUGCAUUGACUAACCCACCAAUUUUAAUAAAAUUUCAACAGUAUAACGUGGCUUUUAUUUAUUUAUCCAGUCUGCAUAGUAAAAACAACUUACAUAAAUUUCCCAAUGCACUCACAAAAUAUAGCCACAUAUACUCAUUUCUCAUAAGCUAUUCCUAGGAAAAUAUAUAUUUUUCAAGUCAAUUUGCAGCCUCCAAUUACUCAAUUUCAUAAUCAAUACAAUAUAUUUUUAUUUCUCACAUUUAUUCCUAAAACAUCAAAAAAUCCCGUUUUAAUCUCGUUUUCAUUUCAUAAAAUACAUAAAGGGCAUUUAAAAAUAAACUCUAGAUAAUUUACAAAAAUAAUAAGUUUACUCACCGUUUGUACAAACUAAAAGCUUUCUAAGCGCCCCGAUCACUACUCGUCGGGUACGACUUCUUUGCUUUUU
rnacentral:lncRNA from 1 species